rnacentral:lncRNA from 1 species
UGUCGCCCGGGCGCCCCCAUCGCCUUCCCGGGCAGCAUUAGAGACCCCCCCUCCCCCGCUUCCCAACACCGCGACCGGACCACGCGCCCCGCCGGGGAGGGUCACGCCUCCGCGCCGGUUCCUCGGGCCCCCGGGACUCGCAAGAAUGGGUUUGCGUGUUGCUGCGUAAAUGUGUGUCCCCGAGGCGGCUGCGACCGCGGGAAUAAACCGGGAGGAGAAGCGGGGAAGCGGACAGAAAUCUGUGGGAGAGCGAUCAGCGGGUAUCCGGCUGGAGCGGCCCUGGGGCGAUGGUGGAGGGAGCCCAGUGCCCACCCCUGCCCCGACACUGGCCUCGCCGGGCCCGCUGGUGGGGACCGGGGCGGGGGCGCGGCAGUGCCCGUGCGGACUUCGCGGGGCGAGAAGGAGGGGCCGGAGGAGGAGCCCGGCGGGCGAGGCGCGGGCCACCGCCCACCGGGCGGGGAGGAGAAGGCGGACCCGUUCGGAGCUCGGCGCGCGCGCCGGGGCUCAGCCUUGCAAACAAGUGUCUGUGGCGCUCGCCCCGCGGCCCGGACACAAGCGCUUCGCCGCCCCCCGGCGGCCCUCCUUGUGCCGGGCCUGGCUCCUAUGGGGCAGGACCGAUCCAGCCAGCCCCUGGGCGCGCAGUCCUCCACCCGCCGCCGCCGCCGCGACCCUCGGGCCGGGCGGCCCCGGCAGCUUCAAGCGGGGGCCGCGGACUCCGCUCGGCUGCCAGGCGCGCCGGCGCGGGGUCGCCGCGCGAUCAGCGGCGCCCAGGCUGUCGCCGAGCCCGCUCCCGACAGAAUAACGUGCUUGGUUUCCCCACCCACCCCUGGGAGGGGUUGCUGGGGCCGCGAGCGGCCUCCCAGUUUCCAUCGCUCUCUCCUGGGGAGGAUCCGCCGCCGGGAGGAAGGAUUAGAAUAAACCUGAACCGCGGCGCAGAAGUGGCUCCCGGGGAAGCCGGCGCCGGGGCCGCCGCCUCGUGUCCCCUCGGGGCGCAGCGCUCGGG